UGCUGACUUCGGCCGCACAAAUACUAAAUUGGAACGACGCAGAGAUGUUUAGCAUGGCCCUGUGCAAGGAUGACCAUCAAAUUUGUGAAGUGUUCCAUGUUUUU